UCUUUAUGAGCUUUCUAAAGGAGACAUAGGAUUGCCUGAAACGAUUUAAAAUUUCCUCAUCCAGAGUUCACCAGCUGAAAAGGAUGCUGCCUCUCUGUUUGAAAUGGAGGAAUAUGAUUAAAUCGACACCCUUGGUCUGAGAAAGUGGGAAGGCAGGGUGAUGCAGUAUGUUCUUGAGAUGGCUUUAGUGUUAGGUCUAUCCUUUUAUAAACUCUAAUGGUUACCGAAAUGAUGGCUCAUUGCGUUCCGGAGUGUGAGCUACCAGCGCAGACAUAAACAUCAAUGAUCAGUUCAGAUGUGAACUUGGCCAGAACUUUUCCAGCAAUGGACGGGAUAACUAUACUCCGGCAAUUGGAGCAAAUACAUUUAUUUCUUUUGUUUUUGUAGAUGGUGACAAUUGUCCAGUCCAGAAAAUUUUUUUCUUAUUCUAUGUUUUGAUGGUUGCAUUAAGUUCAUUCAAAUUGCAGAAAGCUGGGGUUUUCACAAUAGUUCCAUUGGUUUAAGACCUAGUUAACUUGUUCUUCCGAGCGAUUCAAUUUUGCUGAAAGGUCUUUCAGUAGAAAUAUUCUGCCUUAAAAGUUCACUUGUGCCAUGAAACAAUUCCAUGGGUUAUAGAUAUAUCUUUAUUGCAUCACAGAAACUGUGCAGGCUUGGCCUGUCUACAUUUCUCGAACACGCAUUUCCGAAGAGCUCACAAUGUUUAUCUGGAGUGUGUCAUGGUUUGUCCAGAGAGGCUCAGUGAACCUUGUAUAUUUAUUUCUUUACUGCCCACAGGGGCGGGGGGCUAAAGAUAGAGGGGACAAACAAGGACAAAGGGAUUAAGUCGAUUACAUCGACCCAGUGUGUAAAUGGUGCUUAUUUAAUCGACCCCGAAAGGAUGAAAGGCAAAGUCGACCUCGGCGGAAUUUGAACUCAGACCGUAACGGCAGACGAAAUGCCGCUAAGCAUUUCGCCCGGCGUCCUAACGAUUCUGCCAGCUCUCCUGGCGAGGAUGUCGAUCGUGCAGGAAUUUUCAUCCAAACACAAACUCUCAAGAGGAAGAUUGAGUCAAAAGCUUUCAGUCUAACAGAAUAUGAUGAACGUCCUUACAUAUAUGGAGACAGUCGAGCUUGCUCUGACUGAGCUUCUUCAUGCUUGAUGUCGAGCGUCGUAACGGUGCACUUGCAAUCUGACUUUUGUUAGUAUUCUCCGAUGAUCUGUCGUCCAAUAUUCGGCACCCAUCAUUGCACAACUAAACAGAAUAGAUAUGAGAUCUGUCUACCUGGCUGUGUUUAGAUCAACAAAGCAUCAGUAUUUGGGCUUGAAAUGCAUCCAAGAGGUUUCGUGUUUGAUCAUCUAUUGGAAGGUGGUGCUGGCCAUGACUGGAUUGUUCUGUGCCCGCUCAAUUAGAAGCAUUGUGCCUUUGAUCUUAGUUUUCAUAAAACCACGAUUUUACAGACUUGCGUUAAAAGCAUUCUUUAAACUGGAUUUUGUCAGGAGAUUUUCCUCAGUGUUUGGUUUCCUGGCCGACUGAAGCGGUUUUUGCCCUGAUAAAUGAGACGGCAAAGCCUCGAUGCAGGGAUACUUAGUAACAUGAUAGAUAUUCUCUGCAAGUAGGUAUAUGAAGUGACAAUUGUCGAUCACUAAUGCCAAUCAGUAUUUUGGUCAGUUUAGGGGGCAUAUUCUUCGAAGUAAUGCAGACACAUGAUAGUGAUGUCCACAUGCAAGGUAGUAUUUCCAAAAUAAAGAAGCUCUCACCAUCCUCAUCCUGAGAACCGUCUCCAAGUAACGUUUCCUCAUCUAACGCAGCACUAUUUACUUUGUAGGACAACACACUGAUUGUGGGAGCUUAUUCGUCGUUGGGGCUGGUUCACAAAUUACUGAUAUCAGUAGAUAGAAUAGAUUAUACACUCAGUGCUUAUAUAAUCCAUUUUUGUCAUGUAUGUGGAAAUUCCACAUACAUAUGAUAGACAUGGUUUCCUAUCCAGAAAUCUAACUGUAUCAACAAUUUUAGGCAUCUUUCUUCGGUCCCUCCUCGGCUGGUCCCAAAUUGACUUGCUUAGUUGCAGACAGAAAAAAAAUUCCUCUCAAUGACACCUGUCAACGACUGUUGCCCUGAAACACCGAAGUAUUGAGUUCCCAUCAGAAGCUUCCAGCAUAUUCAGAUCUACUCCCUUUUCCAGGUUGUCCUUCACAAUCUCACUCUUGCAAGGACCCGAGAUCCAAGAUCCAGCAUGCAUACGCUUGCAUAGGUGGUGUUGGUGUGCACACUUCUCAAAAUCAUUCUCUUUGCCAUGAAAAACAAGCGAGACUCCAGGUGUCUGAUACAUUCUCCUAGCUGCAGGAUGCUACUGAAAAUCAGGUUUGUCGGAAACCACCAUCAGCUUAACCGUCACAUCUUGUUUUUCUUUUAGGCUCUACUUCCCAAGUCGUUUCUUAGAGUUACCGACAAGAUAGCAGGACAAUGAUUGAUAAGUGCCAAAGCUCACCCACAGUAUGGGUUUCUCCGUAGUAUCUGUGA
rnacentral:lncRNA from 1 species